rnacentral:misc_RNA from 1 species
CGAGCAGCCACAGGGGCCUCUCGAGCUACUGAGUAAGCUUGAGCAGACACCUGCUUGACAACUGGCGGAACACGACUAUCCAGACUAGUGACAGAUUCAUCAACCUUGCGAUCUACAAACUUGAGAACCUCAUUGGGAACAUCGUGGAACUUGUAAUAGACAGGUCCAACCACGCUCUUGACGGUACCCUCAACGGUCUCAACCCCAGGCUUCAAUGGACCAGCCUUUUCCUUGGCAUAAAGGUAGAGGUUUGUGAAGGUCACAACGGCAUGAAUAACAGCCACUUGCACAAAUUCCAAAUAUUUUAGCCUCUCUUCCUCCUCAUUUUCCAUCUGUUGUUGCAUAUUCACGUUUCCUUCGCCUUCGGCCAUGAUUGCGGAAAUGGAAGAUCAAAAAUCAA